AUCAUGGCUCAAGAACGAACGCUGGGCGGCAUGCCUAACACAUGCAAGUCGAACGAGACCUUCGGGUCUAGUGGCGCACGGGUGCGUAACGCGUGGGAAUCUGCCCUUGGGUUCGGAAUAACAGUUAGAAAUGACUGCUAAUACCGGAUAAUGUCUUCGGACCAAAGAUUUAUCGCCCAGGGAUGAGCCCGCGUAGGAUUAGCUAGUUGGUGAGGUAAAGGCUCACCAAGGCGACGAUCCUUAGCUGGUCUGAGAGGAUGAUCAGCCACACUGGGACUGAGACACGGCCCAGACUCCUACGGGAGGCAGCAGUGGGGAAUAUUGGACAAUGGGCGAAAGCCUGAUCCAGCAAUGCCGCGUGAGUGAUGAAGGCCUUAGGUUGUAAAGCUCUUUACCCGGGAUGAUAAUGACAGUACCGGGAGAAUAAGCUCCGGCUAACUCCGUG
rnacentral:rRNA from 1 species